rnacentral:rRNA from 1 species
UUGAUGUGGGGAGGAUUGUCCCUUUCCGCGUCGGAGCUAACGCGAUAAGUGCACCGCCUGGGGGAGUACGGUCGCAAGAUUAAAACUCAAAGGGAAUUGACGGGGGCCCGCACAAGCGGUGGAGCAUGUGGCUCAAUUCGAUGCAACGCGAAGAACCUUACCUGGGCUUGACAUGUGACUGCACGCCCUGCGAAAGCAGGGAAGCCUUCGAGGGUGUCACACAGGUGCUGCAUGGCUGUCGUCAGCUCGUGCCGUGAGGUGUUAGGUUAAGUCCUGCAACGAGCGCAACCCCUGUGGUUAGUUGCUAAGGCGGGUGAUGAAUCCGCCAGCACUUUAAUCAGACUGCCUGUGAAAAGCAGGAGGAAGGUGGGGAUGACGUCAAGUCAGUAUGGUCCUUAUGUCCAGGGCUGCACACGUGCUACAAUGAACGGUACAGAAGGAAGCAAAACCGCGAGGUGGAGCAAAUCCCUAAAACCGUUCUCAGUUCAGAUUGAAGGCUGCAACUCGCCUUCAUGAAGCUGGAAUCGCUAGUAAUGGCGCAUCAGCUACGGCGCCGUGAAUACGUUCCCG